rnacentral:ncRNA from 1 species
AGAAAUUCAUUGACGAGAACGAGUACGCUGAUCCCUUGUUCCCCAGAGAGUUGGCCCCGCGCUGAAAGCCAAUGGACAAGAAUGAGCAGAAAAUCCUCUCCGAGAAGGAAAGCUGAAGCAGGCUAGUAAGCUGACCCGGGAUCCCGCCGUUACAAGGGACGCGUAUGAUCGUACGCAGACGAGGUGCCGCAUGGCUUUUAUCCACAAGGCUUUGGCGGAACAAGGGUGGUAGCGCGAGAUACAAUCUCGUCCCUUAC